CUGCAGCUGAGCUUCGGAGACCUUGCAACCCUUAGGGAGGUAGCACGACGGUAAAUAAAGCUAACCGCUUGCAAGUUGGCCAAGUUGGCUAGCAACACAAUCGAAUUGACGGGGAACUCCUCAAGCCUACACACCAACCAUCUGGGGAAACUCAGAUGGGGCCUUUACGGGAUGGUAACAGGUGUAGGAUACGUGGACAAUCCGCAGCGGAGCCCCUAACGGCGAGAGCCAUGGGGAACGUUCACAGACUAAGUGGUUGUGGGCUAGGAUUAAAGCCUAUCUAAGAUAUAGUCGGUCCCAUCCGAAAGGACCGGGGAACAGCGUCCGUGGUGAACCUGCGGAAGGAUCAUUACAGAGUUCAUGCCCUUGCGGGUAGACUCCCACCCUUGAAUACAUACCUUUGUUGCUUUGGCGGGCCACGUCCGCUGUCGGCUUCGGCUGGCUGCGCCCGCCAGAGGACCCAAACUCGUUUUGUUAGUGAUGUCUGAGUACUAUAUAAUAGUUAAAACUUUCAACAACGGAUCCUUGGUUCUGGCAUCGAUGAAGAACGCAGCGAAAUGCGAUAAGUAAUGUAAUUGCAGAAUUCAGUGAAUCAUCGAAUCUUUGAACGCACAUUGCGCCCUUGGUAUUCCGAGGGGCAUGCCUGUUCGAGCGUCAUUAUGACCACUCAACCUGGCUUGGUAUUGGGGCCCGCGGUUCUGCGGCCCCUAAAAUCCGUGGGGCGCCAUCUGGCUCUAAGCGUAGUAAUACUCCUCGCUAUAGAGCCCCGUGGAUGCUUGCCAGCAACCCCCGAUCUCACGGUUGACCUCGGAUCAGGUGGGAUACCCGCUGAACUUAAGCAUAUCAAUAAGCGGAGGAAAGGGGACG
rnacentral:rRNA from 1 species